UCGGGAAUUUUGGGCAAUGGGCGAAAGCCUGACCCAGCAACGCCGCGUGAGGGAUGAAGUAUUUCGGUAUGUAAACCUCGAAAGAAUGGGAAGAAUAAAUGACGGUACCAUUUAUAAGCUCCGGCUAACUACGUGCCAGCAGCCGCGGUAAUACGUAGGGAGCAAGCGUUGUUCGGACUUACUGGGCGUAAAGGGCGCGUAGGCGGCGCGGUAAGUCACUUGUGAAAUCUCUGAGCUUAACUCAGAACGGCCAAGUGAUACUGCUGUGCUAGAGUGCGGAAGAGGCAACCGGAAUUCUUGGUGUAGCGGUGAAAUGCGUAGAUAUUAAGAGGAACACCGGAGGCGAAGGCGGGUUGCUGGGCCGACACUGACGCUGAUGCGCGAAAGCCAGGGGAGCAAACG
rnacentral:rRNA from 1 species